GUGGACAGCAAUCAGACGUGAAGUGGAAGAAUUUAAUAGAAAGAUUGACAAACAAUUGAGGGAAGAAGGGAGAUCAUUCAAUUGAGUUGAAGCCUACAGCCAUUCUAUCCAUGCAGCAACUGAUGGAAAAGGGGUUCGCUUUGGUGCUGUUGU